rnacentral:lncRNA from 1 species
UUCCCGUAAUAUGGGAAACGUUCUCCCAUACCCCUCUUGGUCAUUUCUAUGUUCUGGUGAUCUUGAUCGGCUUUGCUCCGACCAACUUGCAGCCAUCCCAUCUUCUGGUAUUGCCUCUUCAAAGAACCGGGAAUUUUCGCACGUACGCUGCUGAGGGUGAUAAGGUGCCUCUUCGAUAUUUUCUUCUAAACGCACCUGUUCGCUUAUACCUUGGCUUUCACGAGUAACUGUUGACAGCCGAUUCCCGUGUGUCUCUGCCGCCAAGUUUUCUAGGUUUUCCUCCAUCUGAAUUACCCGCUCCGGUUGCUCUGCAUCCAUCUUUUCGUGUUCGAUUCACGUCAGGUUCACCACUGAUCGCGUCCCUUUAGAAAGGUGGCCGAUCUCUCCUACUCUCGUAUAAACACAAGUGUAUUACAAGUAUAUUUCAAAUGUUACUACCAGUCAAUCCCCU